UGUCUCAGAAAGCACUGGAGCAGCUCUUGCACGCUGACCGCUUCUUUAAGAAUGACUUUGCUGUAGUUUUGCAGCCAUUCCUGAAACACGCAGAUCCUCCAAGUCUCCCUAAUGGGAAGAUUGAUAUGAGCUUUUUUACUCCGGACUGUUUCCACUUCACCAUGAAAGGACAUGAGGAGUUAGCCAAGGGACUGUGGAACAACAUGUUUCAACCUGAGGGGGAGAAGUUCAUGGUGGAGAGUUUUUCAAACCCUAUUGAGCUCAUUUGCCCCAUUGUGAGUCAUCCAUACAUUUACACCAGACCCAGUGCUGCAAAGUCAGGCACAUCACUUCCUGAGAUGCCCCAGUCAGCUGGCAUCAGACUAACUGUUCUCCACCUCAUCUUGGCUUUCCUUCCACUGUGGUUGGCUGUUAAUCUGGCCUCCUUGUAGCACAUCCAUAUGGAGUAUCAUGGUACAUCAUGUCUGCCCACCCAAUGUUCUGCUUGGGCUUAAUAUCAUUGCUUUGAACCAUUGAGGAUCUAUUCUGAGACUUGAGCCACUGCAGGAUGGUCUAUGAUGAAACUGAUAAUGAGGGAGUAAAAGAUAAUUAAGUUAUCAAAAAUGAACAGGAAAUUGGAGUUGGCAAAAUAUGAAGACUUGGUUACAGUCAAUAUCAUAUUGAAUUGCUCUGUAGAGUUUAUGCAAUGGAAAUGGGAAUGUUGAAACCUCAGAAUAGAAAAAUAUAUGCUAAUGUGAUGACCUUUUCUGAUAUACCCAACCGAAAUAGCACAAGAGCAGGUGCAAAGCCACUUUUAGCUUGGCAUAAUGCUGCUAUAAUUAAUUUAGGUAUGAAAGGUAACUGUAAGCUAAUUCCGGAUGGUUUGAAUAAAAAUGGCCAGAGGUUACACCGUAAACUCAUUAAGCCUAGAACUUGAAUGUUGACUGAGAACAGCUGUUUUGCUUCUGAGAGCAUGGUGAAAAGUAAACUGUUUGAGAGCUUAAUACUCACAAUAAUAAGAUAAUUGCUUUGGAUGCUGCAACAUGAGAAGUGCUUUUGGUCUUCUCAAAUAAAGCUUUCAGAAGGGGUACUUACCUGUUUUCCUUCCUUUUUUUUUCUUUGAAAGUAAUUUUAAGAUAUGCUUUUUUUUCUAUACAACUGAAGGUUCUUCAUGGAUUUUUGAAUGAAUUCUUCUAUUACCAAUCAAAGAACCCAUCUUUAUAGUUGUAGUUAGCAGCUCCUAAAGGUUCUUGGAAACAGCCAAACAAAUAAACAAGAGUAAUUUAAAUUAAUUAUAGCAAUGCAAUUAUAUUGGUAAUAAAUAAUGUAAUAAAUAUGUUCAUGUUUUGUCAGUCUGUUUGAUUCUGUCUGCAUUUGUCCAAACUUAGCUGAGUGCUGCAUAUUCAUUAGAAUUAUUAUCAUUCAAAGUGGAUGUGUUUUGACCCACUUUAUACCUCAGAACUGUCAGUGAAUUGCUAAUAUUAGCCUGUUUUUCUGUUUUAAAGCCUUUUUAAAAUAAGUACACAAC
rnacentral:lncRNA from 1 species